rnacentral:rRNA from 1 species
GACGAACGCUGGCGGCGUGCUUAACACAUGCAAGUCGAACGAUGAACCGGUUUCGGCCGGGGAUUAGUGGCGAACGGGUGAGUAACACGUGGGCAAUCUGCCCUGCACUCUGGGAUAAGCCCGGGAAACUGGGUCUAAUACCGGAUACGACACUCCGAGGCAUCUUGGGGUGUGGAAAGUUCCGGCGGUGCAGGAUGGGCCCGCGGCCUAUCAGCUUGUUGGUGGGGUAAUGGCCUACCAAGGCGACGACGGGUAGCCGGCCUGAGAGGGUGACCGGCCACACUGGGACUGAGACACGGCCCAGACUCCUACGGGAGGCAGCAGUGGGGAAUAUUGCACAAUGGGCGAAAGCCUGAUGCAGCGACGCCGCGCGAGGGAUGACGGCCUUCGGGUUGUAAACCUCUUUCAGCAGGGAAGAAGCGAAAGUGACGGUACCUGCAGAAGAAGCACCGGCUAACUACGUG